rnacentral:lncRNA from 1 species
GAACAAGUCAGAUGUUAGACUGGCGUUGGUCUAUGCGUCUUCUUUUCUAGACAAAUAACCUUUCUCUCGAACAGGUUAGAUGUUAGAAUGGCGUGUUCUUGUGUUUGAACCGCAAAGAAUGUAGAUUUAAGAUGAAGAGAAUAAUGAUAUAAGCAAUAUACUUGUCUUGAACUCACAAACUCAUAGCUAUAGAUAGUAACUCAUUCGGCUUCCAUAACCCCAACUAAGAGAUUUAGUUACCCAUGAAUGCGAAGGAUAUCACGCUUUGCAUGGUGGAUGGUGUGAAUAGUAGGUGUUUGGCGUGUGGUUUUAGUGAUUCCGUAGCAAGUAACGAUUCUCUUGUUGUGGAAUUUAAGAGUAGAAGAAUGAAGAAUUGAGAAUGGGUUGUAGGAAGAUGUCUUAAUUGUAAGGAGAUGAAUGAAUUGUCAGAAUGUCUCCCCCCCCUCUUUAAAAUCUCUAACAUGAUAGGGUAUUUAUAAUACUCCUAUCCUACUCCUACUAAACUAAUAAAAUAAAUAACCAAAUCCUAAUAUACUAAUGAAAUCCUUGACCCAAUUGUACUAGGGUAAGGUUACAAAAUUAUAAUCCAAAUAGAAUGAUGAAACACAUAACCUAAUUGCACUAGGUUAAUGUAUUAUGGCAAAAAUCCAGCUUUGUGUCUGUAAGUCCCAAAGUCUUCAGAAAUGCUGUUUUAGCCCGGGACAGAUUUUCCAUGCAGCAGAUUUAGUCCUUUAUGCGUCCAGCUCCUUUCCAUCUCGUUUGUGAGCUUUCUUUUGCGUCAAGUAAGCCAUAAAUUGCUGUAUUUUGCAUCAUUUAUACCUGAAACUUUCCUAAUCACAUUUGUUAGCUCAUUUACAGGAAAAAGGACUAAAAGUGUACGAAAUAGAUAAUUAGUUCUCGAAACUAGGCUAAAAUAUGGGCAAAAUAUAUUGAUAUAGGCGCGUAAUUUCGCCUAUCAUCACUUAGUUAAAGAUUGGAAUGGAGGUGUUAGGGUGUAAAUCGUACUUAUACUGACUUGUCCAUCAUUCGGGGACGAAUGAUACAAGUGGGGGAUAACUGAAAUACCCUGGGUUCUGGUCCUUAGAAAAUUUCCUGUGUUUUGAGUCUUCUGGACAUCAUAUAACUUUGGGUACUUGUCGUAUGAUAGGGUACGGUUUAGGUUCCUCAUCUCGUAUGUUUAUCAGUGUAGUUUGGUUGGUUAUUGUCUAAGGUAUGAAUGGAUCAUACUAGUCCUAUAUUAGGGUACUAGUAGUAUGAUGUCAAUCAUAUAAUGUCCUAUCUCUAGCCUAGGUGAUUCUAUUCUGCCUAAGCUAUGGUUCUAGGGUACUUGUCGUAUGGUUAGAUAUGAGUUGGUCGUGCUGGUCGUAUGUUGGACAAUGUUGGGGUCCAAAGUGAGGACUAGGGUACGAGUGAUGGGUACCACUCAUAUGGUAUGGUACGAUUUGGGGAGGUCGUACCCUUCUGCGGGAAUUUUAUACAGUUUAAGUUGUGGUAUUCUAGAUAUUUUUCCUCUUAACCUCUUAUGACCCCAUGACUUAAAAAAUUAUUAGGACUUCGUUUACCCUAUUAUUCUAAUCUUAAACACUUAAACACUCUCUCUAAACUCUCUCAAGCUCUUGGGUUAAGCAAAGGCUAGGGUUUCCUCCAAGGUGGUCAAUUAAGGCUUUAAAGGGUGAUUUAUCUUCGUCUUCUUCGUAAUCUAAGGCAUGUUACACCUCCCUCAUUAUUUGUACCAACUAAAGUCAUGUUUUAUGAAUGGUUUUCAUGACAUAAUUGUGGUAUUAUUUUGGGGUUUGAAUUAUAUGUUGGGGGUUUUGGUUAUAAUGGUUGGUUAUGGUUUUCCCAUGUCUUUUACUUAUGGUUUUCAAGAUUACAAUGGUGGUUUGAACCUUUGGUUGCAUGGUAAUUGUUAAUUAGUACUUGGUUUUUAUUUUGAAAACUAUACCCUUAAUGUGUUUGUUAAAAUGCCUAUGAGAAUAUUUCUAUUACGUAGUUGGACUUUUAAUGAAACUAUUGGAUGGUAUAACUUGGUAAUGGAACUUAAUCUGGAUUGGAUUGUUUUAAAUUGUUAAAUGGUAAGGUCUUGCUGGUCAUGGUUUGGUUUAAUUAAAAGCCUUGUUGGGUAAAGGAAAUCCCCUAAGCAAGCAUAAUAAUGAACUACUUGUGGGGUACAUGGGAAUCCCCCAAGUAAACUUAAUAAUAACGGAAUCUUCGGGUACAUGGGAGUGCCUUAAAAGGUUGGCUAAGGACAUUUCUUGAAAGCUAUAGUCGGUAUGAUGAUACAACUUCUUAUAGCGUUGGUUAAUAAUAAAUGGAAUUGGUUUUUUGGUUGUGUGACAAUGAUUUUAAUUGGGCAAUAAUAGCGGGUUGUAAUAGCUAACUAUAAAGGUGUGAGUCCAAUGGACGGACGCUGGAAACUCAUAUUUUAUCUUUCCCAUAUUUGAGGGACAAGUCUUUCCGUGCAGCAAACACCUUUUUUACUGUACAGCUAGUUGCAUCUUUUUUUCUUGUUGUUUCGGGAUUUUGAUUCUUCUUUUGAUUGGGUAGUUCCUCAUGAAUUCUUUAGAGCUGCCACCUUUGUGACAGCCUUCAGUUUUACAAUUUAAUUUUCUAAGUUGACCACCUUUUUUUAUAGCUCUAACAAUCCAUGUUGCCAAGAGUGCAACAUUAGUGUCUUCUUCUCCUGAGUCAGAUUCUAAAGCCUUCAGAAUCAAUAAUCUCUCCAUUUUGCUUUUUUUUUUCCUCCCCUAGUUUAGUUUUAACAAUCAUGAUGACCAAAACACUCAAGCUAUGAACCUUUUAGAGUGAACCCUCUCUGAUACCAAUUAUUGAACCCUUGGAGGUUGCACCACACAGUAAGAGACCAGGUCCCUCAAAGUCAAUUACAAGUGAUAGAAUGGUAAAGAAACUAAGAGGUGCUGGAAACACAAAGGCAGUGUAGGAAGGUAAGAACACAAGAUUUUUAUGUGGAAACACAAGAAAGGGAAAACCACGGCUUGCCCUCACAGCUCCAAACAGUCCACUAUAACUAACCUCUUGACUACAGACUCGACUGUGAACCUAACUCUAGGUUUCUUUCGCUUGUAACAACUCUAUUACAAGCUUAUCUUGGUAACUCUACCAAGGACCCUCUCCACACUAAUUAACUCUAAUCAGCUUCAAGCUUAGACUCUACCUAAGCACUCUCUACUCAAAGAGAAAAAUACUACUCUUAUAGCUUGAGUAGUUCGGUUACAAAUCAAAGCUCACUCAAAAACAAUUUCUAUUUAAGCACACAAAAAUAGCUAAGAACUUGAGCAGUGGUGAAAUAGGGUUUUGCUGCCUCUCUUUUCACUCUUUAGAAUUUGCAAAAGUCAUUUGAUGAAGAGGCUUUUUUUUCCUUUUAUAGCUAAUUGAUAAUUAGGGAUGAAAUAUCAUUGGACCAGUUGUCCAUAUCAAUACAAAAUAGUUCCUGCAAGUUUAUUACACACGAGGACAAAACUAUGCAGAUACCGUGUGCCAGCUUACUGUACGUUACACAUUCAAGGACCUAAUCCCUUGCAGUUUAGCUGCUCAUCAUCAAAACUAAAUAUAGUAUUAUAUUUGUGUCAUGGGUUAUUAUUUUUUUUGUCAUUGGUUUUUAUUGUCCGUUAAGGGGUCGUUUGGUCGAAAACAAGUUAUUCUGUGAUCAAUUAUUCUAGAUAGCUAGAUUAAUUAUCUUGAAAUUAGUUAUUCAAAAAUAAGUUGUCCCACUAUGUGUAUGGGAUAAUUUAUCUCAUCAAUAUAAUAUAAAUUAUGGUAUAAAUAAUUCCAAGUCUACCUAUCCCAAAUUAUUAUAAUUAUACCUCACACCAAAUGACUCUUAAAAGAUCUAUUUAAUAACCUUAAUCAUGAUAAUAUUUGUCAAAAUCACUCUUUAUAUCUCUCUAAACAUUUGUUUGAUUGACACUAUAUUAAUUGAAAAUGUCGGAAAAUUUUUGAACAAAAAGUAGUAAGAAGGAACUCUCUACUUUUCAAAUGUUAAAUAUUUUAAUUUUAAUCUAUCAAAAUGACUAAUAUUUGUCAUCGAACACAAGGGAGUAGUGAAAAAUAUGUUCCUCUCCUUUUGUCUUGUAGCGUGGGCCCAUAUCCAAGAGGAGUAAGGAUGACUUACAAUAUAAACAACACCAGUGUAUUCCUAUGCAUUGGAUCGGAGAGGAUAGAAUCUACUAUUAUGUUAAAAAUAAGGUAAAGAAAUUAAUUUUAAUAAAUAUUUAAUUAAAAAAUCUAUAAUUUAUAAAAAAAUAUAAAAAAGGUACAAGAAACAAUGCAAAAUAAUAUUACAAUAGAGUUCAACUAAUCAAAAUAUAGGAGUAAGACUUGAUGAAUUAAUUUUCAUUUGAUUACUUUCAUAAAAGCAUUAUCUUAAAGUCACAAGUAAAUGUAACAUCUAACUAAUUAACUUCCUAGAUUUUUGAUGUCCGUUUCCAUUUUCUAAUAGGGUAACAGAUGGUUUAAUUAGCCAAGUUUCAUAAAUAAAUAUAUUAAAUUAAGAAGGAACCAAUAAAUUAGCCAUGCGAAAAAUGUAACUUAAUUGUUGAGUUAAUUUUCUCAAUAUAUGUACGUAACUUUAUGUAAUUGUCCAGGAUAUCAGAUUUUUAGGAGUAAGAGAGAUCGAUCCAAAAUUCAGAGGCAAACUAAAUUAAAGGCAUUAGGUAAGUCUGACGCUUCAUUAGUUUCUCUUUUCUUUUUUGGUUUUAAACUUAUAUAAUGCUCAUAAACUGCCAAAGUGCCGGCCAUGUAUAUUGUUUUAACACGUGGUAUCAAGUUGUUUGCUUUAUUUUUUCAGAAAACUAAUUCCGUUUCUCGUAUGCUCAUAGCGUAAAAAAUAUACUAAAACUUAUUUAAAAAGUAAUUAUUUUUCUUUAAUUUUAUCUUUACUAAUAGUUAAAUAUUAAUUUUUAAAGAAAAAUUCAUUUGGAUAAUAGUAAGAUAAAUACUUAAUUAGUAUUUUCAUUUGUCAUGAAUAAAUUUGUUAUCUUUUGAGUAAGCUGAUAAUGUGAAAGGAAAUUAUGUUGUCAUUACAUAAAAGUUAAGUUUAUCAUUCCUCUCAUUCUUUUUGGAAUAUUUUUAGUUUUUUUUUUUUAAAAUGGGAGGACAGGGAAUUACUACGUGGGAAUUGAAUUCUCACGGCAAGAUAAAUAUUAAUGUAGUCAAUCAAUUGAACUACUUAUAGCUCUGGUUUGGCCAUAAGUUUUAUAGUUAAAAUUGUCUUUUUUGAAAUUUGUCGUUAUAUUAAGACAUCCAUUUUACUUGAAAUUUGAAAAUAUUUAAGAUCAAAUAAGUAUUUGAGAAUAAAUUUUUAUCCUAUAUCCAAACAAAAACUAAAUUUCCCCCCAGAAUAUUAGUAGUUCUUUAAUUUUUUAUCGUAAUUUAUUUGGUGCUUUUGGAUGAAGGACAAAGAAGGAAAAUAUCGCUUCAUUCUAUGCAGAAAAAAGCGAUGACACUUGGAUUAUUAGCCUUAUUAACAACACUAUUUUGGGGUUUAGAGAGCAAGAUUUCACCUUUUGAUACCAUAGUUGCACUGGAUGGAAGUGGAGAUUUCAAGUCCAUAACAGAGGCGUUACAAGCAGCUCCAGAUAAUAGUGAAAGAAGAUACAACAUAAAGAUAAAAGAAGGGAUAUACAACGAAUAUGUUUUUGUUCAUAAAAAUAAGACUAAUAUAACAUUUAUUGGUGAAGGAACGGACCGUACCAUCAUAACUGGAUCUAAAAGCAAUGGCACUGGCUUCAAAACAAAUGAGACUGCUACUGUAGGUCAGUUUGACCAACCUAUUUUAUAUGCAAGAUUACGAAAGUAAUCUGUUAUAGUAUACUAUUUGUCUGAUUUUCUAUGUUCCAAAUUUUGCUAGUUACUUUGGAAACUUAUCUAUAUUUAUUUUUGAAUUUAAUCCACAUAUAUAUAUAUAUAUAUAUAUAUUAUUUGCAAGAUUACAAAAAUAAUUUGUUAUAAUAUAUUCAUUGUCUUAUUUUCUACGUUCCAAAUUUUGCUAGUUACAUCAGAAGCUUAUCUAUAUUUAUUUUUGAAUUUAGUCACCCCCCCCCUCAUCUCACCCCCACAUAUAUAUAUAUAUAUAUAUAUAUAUAUAUAUAUAUAUAUAUGGGAUCUUUUUUAUUUUAAAGUCAACGAUUACUUUAUAAACUUUUUUCUUUCUACUUUAAUUUAAAUUUAACUCGUAAAAUUCAAUAAUACAUUAAUUCAUGUAAUAUCUUGAAAUAUUUGUCGAGCUAAAUUUUAAAACUAGUAAUUUUAAGAAUUUCACAUUGCCCGUUUAUUUUACCAUAAGUUACCUAUACUACCUAUCUUAUUCCAAAAAGAAUAGUACACAUGCAUAUUAUAUAUUAUACAUUAUAUGCAUCUUUAUACUUCAUAUACAAUAGAUGUGGAUUUGCCGGCUCUUAUAUCUUUUUGUUUUUUUUUCUUUUUUAGGUAAAUAGAUACAAAAUUUUUAUUUAUAAUGUAGUUCAUAGAAGUGAAAAGUUUUUGUAGCAGACCAUAGUACAUGGCUAUGGGUUCAACAAGCGAUAUACACUUAAAAUUAAUAUUCUAUUUUUCUUCUUGUUCAUCUUCUUCUUCUUGGUUGAAAACAGAUAUAAGUGGCUAUGGAUUCAUAGCACAAGAUAUCACAUUCCAGAACACUGCUGGACCAUCGAUGCACCAAGCAGUCGCGACUAGUAUUUCAGCUGACCACGUUGUGUUCUAUCGUUGCAAGUUUGAUGGGUAUCAAGAUACACUUUACACAAAAAAUGGUGUUCAAUUUUUCAGAGAUUGUGAAGUCUAUGGUACUGUGGACUUCAUAUUUGGUAACGCAAAAGUCAUACUUCAAAAUUGCAAUAUCUAUGCUAGAAGACCUGAUGAUCUUCAAAAUGAAGUGACAAUAACUGCCCAAGGAAGAAAAAACAAACAUGAAGAUACUGCUAUUGUCCUUCAAGGUUGCACGAUAAACGUCACACAAGAUUUGCGGGAGCGUGAACCAAAGGUAAUACUAUUUGUAAAACUGUAUGAUCAUCUAGAAGUUUAAAACGGUUAAACAGAUUGAGGACACGUGAUUUCAUUUGCAAAUAUUGAAUUCAUUACCUGCCGAAGCUUAUUCAUCAGUACAACUUGCAAACACUGAAUCUCAAUAGUUGAAAUACUUGAGAAAAUUAUAUUUUCCUUCACUGAAAAAUUG